CAGUCGCCCGGUAAAACGUAGGGUGCAAGCGUUAAUCGGAAUUACUGGGCGUAAAGCGUGCGCAGGCGGUUUGUUAAGACAGAUGUGAAAUCCCCGGGCUCAACCUGGGAACUGCAUUUGUGACUGGCAAGCUAGAGUGUGGCAGAGGGGGGCGGAAUUCCGCGUGUAGCAGUGAAAUGCGUAGACAUGCGGAGGAACACCGAUGGCGAAGGCAGCCCCCUGGGCCAACACUGACGCUCAUGCACGAAAGCGUGGGGAGCAAACAGGAUUAGAGACCCCGGUAGUCCAUGUCUCUUAUACA
rnacentral:rRNA from 1 species